rnacentral:rRNA from 1 species
AGGGACAGCAGCAGCCACGGUAAUACGAAGGGGGCUAGCGUUGCUCGGAAUCACUGGGCGUAAAGGGUGCGUAGGCGGGUCUUUAAGUCAGGGGUGAAAUCCUGGAGCUCAACUCCAGAACUGCCUUUGAUACUGAAGAUCUUGAGUUCGGGAGAGGUGAGUGGAACUGCGAGUGUAGAGGUGAAAUUCGCAGAUAUUCGCAAGAACACCAGUGGCGAAGGCGGCUCACUGGCCCGAUACUGACGCUGAGGCACGAAAGCGUGGGGAGCAAACAGGAUUAGAUACCCGAGUAGUCCCUGUCUCUUAUAC